AGUGAAAUGCUGAAUACAACAGGUGUAGUAGACCUCACAGUGAAAUGCUGAAUACAACAGGUGUAGUAGACCUCACAGUGAAAUGCUGAAUACAACAGGUGUAGUAGACCUUACAGUGAAAUGCUGAAUACAACAGGUGUAGUAGACCUCACAGUGAAAUGCUGAAUACAACAGGUGUAGUAGACCUCACAGUGAAAUGCUGAAUACAACAGGUGUAGUAGACCGUACAGUGAAAUGCUGACUGACGGGUCCUUUAGAACAAUGUAGAGAAAAAAUAGAAAAAAAUAAAAAAUAAAUGAGUAACAACUUGUCAGUAUACACUGGGUACCAGGUAAUAACAUGGUUAUAUACACAGGGUACCAGUACUGAGUAGAUGUGCAGGGGUAUGAGGUAAUAACAUGGUUAUAUACACUGGGUACCAGUAUGGAGUCAAUGUGCAGGGUAUGAGGUAAUAACAUGGUUAUAUACACAGGGUACCAGUACUGAGUAGAUGUAGAGGGGUAUGAGGUAAUAACAUGGUUAUAUACACAGGGUACCAGUACUGAGUAGAUGUAGAGGGGUAUGAGGUAAUAACAUGGCUAUAUACACAGGGUACCAGUACUGAGUAGAUAUGCAGGGGUAUGAGGUAAUAACAUGGUUAUAUACACAGGGUACCAGUACUGAGUAGAUGUAGAGGGGUAUGAGGUAAUAACAUGGCUAUAUACACAGGGUACCAGUACUGAGUAGAUAUGCAAGGGUAUGAGGUAAUAACAUGGUUAUAUACACUGGGUACCAGUACUGAGUAGAUAUGCAGGGGUAUGAGGUAAUAACAUGGUUAUAUACACUGGGUACCAGUACUGAGUAGAUAUGCAAGGGUAUGAGGUAAUAACAUGGUUAUAUACACACUAUUUAGCAGUCAACCAGGAUUUCUGGAAAAUGUAGGAAUUUGGUGAAAGCUGAAUUUAGCAACCCUAGCUUGGAUGAAAUACUACAUGCAGACACAGUAACAUGGUUAUAUACACAGGGCACCAGUACUGAUGAAAUACUACAUGCAGACACAGUAACAUGGUUAUAUACACAGGGCACCAGUACUGAUGAAAUACUACAUGCAGACACAGUAACAUGGUUAUAUACACAGGGCACCAGUACUGAUGAAAUACUACAUGCAGACACAGUAACAUGGUUAUAUACACAGGGCACCAGUACUGAUGAAAUACUACAUGCAGA
ensembl:lncRNA